GGGGAAUAUUGCACAAUGGGGGAAACCCUGAUGCAGCGACGCCGCGUGAGUGAAGAAGUAUUUCGGUAUGUAAAGCUCUAUCAGCAGGGAAGAAAAAAGACGGUACCUGACUAAGAAGCCCCGGCUAACUACGUGCCAGCAGCCGCGGUAAUACGUAGGGGGCAAGCGUUAUCCGGAUUUACUGGGUGUAAAGGGAGCGUAGGUGGUGUGGUAAGUCAGAUGUGAAAGCCCGAGGCUCAACCACGGGACUGCAUUUGAAACUAUCAUGCUAGAGUACAGGAGAGGUAAGUGGAAUUCCUAGUGUAGCGGUGAAAUGCGUAGAUAUUAGGAGGAACACCAGUGGCGAAGGCGGCUUACUGGACUGUAACUGACACUGAUGCUCGAAAGCGUGGGGAGCAAAC
rnacentral:rRNA from 1 species